UCCAGGGUAGCAUAGUGGUUUGAGCACUGGGGAUAUGACUCUGGAGACCAGGGUUCGAUUCCCAGCUCAGCCA